CGCACAAAUAGACGAUGCUAAAGCUAAAUGCGAGGCAUACUUAAAAGAUGAAUGCAUGGAUGGCAUCACAAUACUUGGAAAUAAGACAGAGAAAAGCUCUUUGGACUGCGCCAGAGAUCUUGUGCUGAAUCCAAACGCUUCCGAUGCCCAGCAAGGCAGCUGUCGGGCCGUGAAGACCACAAUAGUCACCACCUUUGUAAAGGACAAGGAAGCGCAGGAGGUAUACAAAGAACAAUUCGAUAAGGCAACGAAAAUGUGCAUCGACGAC